AAACCUCUGGAUGCAGAAGCACUGAAAGACUCAAAAGGAAAUCUGUACUUCCUCAUAAGCUGUGCAAACAGUGGGAUGAAAAAUAUUCGUGUGAUCAUGGUUAGUAACAUCAAUGACAAUCCACCGGUCUUCGAAAAGGAUGAAUACAGGGUUAAUGUAUCAGAGGUAAGAACCUAUGUUUCUCACAAACU